ensembl:lncRNA
UUGAACUGAACCUACAACCUUUAUUGCGCAGGAACAAAGCUGUGAGCGGUUAUUGGAGGACAACGCUCUCCUCUGAGUGGGGAAUGGAGAAACACACAGAGACAAAGAGAGAGGGACAGAGGAGAGAGAGACAACAAGAAAGGACAGAGGAGAGAGAGAACAAGGGAAUGAAGGAUGGAGAAGGAAGAAAAGAGAGGUGGGGAGGAGGGAGUGGAUGGACAGCACUCUGUUUGCAUCACACCUCUACAGACAGGUCCUGAAGGGAAAGAGAGGACUCCACUCCACUCCACAGGAUUUCACAGCUCUCUGAUAGGCUUUACACACUCCUGGGCCUUUCCUGGGGAUGUCCUGGGGUUCUUCUGGGGAUGUCCUGGGGUUCUUCUGGGGAUGUCCUGGGGUUAUCCUGGCCCUCUCCUGGGGAUGUCCUAGGGUUCUCCUGGGGAUGUCCUGGGGAUGUCCUGGGGUUCUCCUGGCCCUCUCCUGGGGAUGUCCUGGGCCUUUCCUGGGGAUGUCCUAGGUUUCUCCUGGGCCUCUCCUGGGGAUGUCCUGGUGUUGUUCUGGGGUUCUCCUGGGCCUGUCCUGGGGUUCUCCUGGGCCUCUCCUGGGGAUGUCCCGGGGUUCUCCUGGCCCUCUCCUGGGGAUGUCCUGGGCCUCUCCUGGGGAUGUCCUAGGGUUCUCCUGGGGAUGUCCUGGUGUUAUUCUGGGGUUCUCCUGGGCCUCUCCUGGGGAUGUCCUGGGCCUCUCCUGGGGAUGUCCUGGGGUUCUCCUUGCCCUCUCCUGGGGAUGACUACCCCACUGUGAAAAGCCUGUGUCCCACAGAGUGACGCAAGGUCAUGGAAGGGGAUCACUCAGGAUGGCAGUUAACACUUAGCUGGAGGUAUAUUUUGCUGGCUGGCUGGCUGGCUGGCUGGCUGGCUGGCUGGCUGGCUGGCUGGCUGGUGUGUGUGUGUGUGUGUGUGUGUGUGUGUGUGUGUGUGUGUGUGUGUGUGUGUGUGUGUGUGUGUGUGUGUGUGUGUGUGUGUGUGUGUGUGUGUGUGUGUGUGUGUGUGUGUCCAAAUCCCACCCCACCAGGACCUGUUAUAGCCAGAAUCAGAGGGAGGAGGAACAGAGGGAUGGAGAGAGAUUGACAGAGGGAACAUAACAUGAGGAAUCUGUCAUUCAGAGAUGGACAGAGAAGAGGGGAGGAGAUAUAGAAAGAAAGGAGGGGGCUGAGAGAGCAGGAGUGAGGGAAGGAUGGUGGUGCUUCAGUGUGUAGGUGGGCUGGUCAUUACCCUAAUUUCAUACCCCAAUGUCUAUACUACAGAUGUCCAGGGAGAGAGAGAACGAGGGAAGAGGUGAGACAGCGAGGGAAGUAACUCUCUUGCACAUUGCGGCAGACAGAUAUGAUAAUGCAGUGGGCAAUGAGUACACACACACACACAUCGGACAUUAAGUAAAUGAACCUGGCCCAUUACUGUAAUAACUAUAGGUGGCGUGUGUUCUGACAAUAAUAAUAAUACAGCCUUACACACCGUUACACACCGGGGAGAGUCAGCUACAGAGCACAACACAAUCUGAGAGAGGGAGGACAGGAGGGGGAAGGAGGAGAGGAGAGAGUCAGCUACAGAGCACAACACAAUCU